rnacentral:rRNA from 1 species
GAUGAACGCUGGCGGCGUGCCUAAUACAUGCAAGUCGAGCGAACAGAUGAGGAGCUUGCUCCUCUGACGUUAGCGGCGGACGGGUGAGUAACACGUGGAUAACCUACCUAUAAGACUGGGAUAACUACGGGAAACCGGAGCUAAUACCGGAUAAUAUAUUGAGCCGCAUGGUUCAAUAGUGAAAGACGGUUUUGCUGUCACUUAUAGAUGGAUCCGCGCCGCAUUAGCUAGUUGGUAAGGUAACGGCUUACCAAGGCAACGAUGCGUAGCCGACCUGAGAGGGUGAUCGGCCACACUGGAACUGAGACACGGUCCAGACUCCUACGGGAGGCAGCAGUAGGGAAUCUUCCGCAAUGGGCGAAAGCCUGACGGAGCAACGCCGCGUGAGUGAUGAAGGUCUUCGGAUCGUAAAACUCUGUUAUUAGGGAAGAACAAAUGUGUAAGUAACUAUGCACGUCUUGACGGUACCUAAUCAGAAAGCCACGGCUAACUACGUG